AUGGCAGAGAUGGUUUCCCCCAACUUGGAAGAAGGUGACACUGUGCAUGUACUCAUCAACCUCCGUGAUGGAGCCAGUGGAGAAUGUGGAAGAAGCCCAAUUCUGAUCCCUGAGGACUUCAGCAUCGUUAUGGCUCCAUCCUUUGCUGUUCUGCUGUCAACAGUGCACAAGUAUUCACUUCUACACUGCACGCCCAGCAAAGCAAUUCAUGGCAUGUUCAGAAGGGUCUUGAGCCACAUUUUUCAACCCCAAGAAGCCUCAUCCUUCACCAGUUCUUACAGAAGGUCUAUAGAGAAUAGAGGACAAGGACACAAGAUCAAAUGCACAUGUGUACCACCCACAAGACCUCCACAGCAUCCAACUCCAAAACCUAGGCAGUUCUCAGAAAAGUCCAAGGGUCUGCAAUGGGCAGAGAUGCAAGUGAACAUCCCAGAAGAAAUACACUGCUAUGGGGUGCUGCAGAUGGAACUCCAUUCUAACUCAACCAACUUGAAGGAACCUGUUCACUGUCAUCUGCCACUCUCAGGAUGGGUGGCUGCGAUGGGAAAACCUGAAAGAUGAGACAUGCGCCU
rnacentral:lncRNA from 1 species